rnacentral:misc_RNA from 1 species
GAUGAAGAACGUAGUGAAAUGCGAUAAGUAAUGUGAAUUGCAGAAUUCAGUGAAUCAUCGAAUCUUUGAACGCACAUUGCGCCCCUUGGUAUUCCGGGGGGCAUGCCUGUCCGAGCGUCAUUGCUGCCCUCAAGCACGGCUUGUGUGUUGGGCCCCGUCCUCCGAUCCCGGGGGACGGGCCCGAAAGGCAGCGGCGGCACCGCGUCCGGUCCUCGAGCGUAUGGGGCUUUGUCACCCGCUCUGUAGGCCCGGCCGGCGCUUGCCGAUCAACCCAAAUUUUUAUCCAGGUUGACCUCGGAUCAGGUAGGGAUACCCGCUGAACUUAAGCAUAUCAAUAAGCGGAGGA